UUACGGUCAUAUCAUGUCGAAACAUUGGUGCCCGUACGCUCACCGAAGUUAAGCAACACUGAACUUGGUGAGUACAUAGAAAUGUGACCGCUUGGGAAUACCAGGUGCUGUAAG